rnacentral:rRNA from 1 species
UACGGGGGGGGGCAAGCGUUGUUCGGAAUUACUGGGCGUAAAGGGCUCGUAGGCGGCCAACUAAGUCAGACGUGAAAUCCCUCGGCUUAACCGGGGAACUGCGUCUGAUACUGGAUGGCUUGAGUUUGGGAGAGGGAUGCGGAAUUCCAGGUGUAGCGGUGAAAUGCGUAGAUAUCGAGAGGAACACCAGUGGCGAAGGCGAGUCUCUGGACGACACCUGACACUGAGGCACGAAAGCUAGGGGGAGCAAACAGG